ensembl:lncRNA LINC00683 long intergenic non-protein coding RNA 683
ACACAUGGCGCUACAUAGAAAGAAUGCCCUGAGGUGAAGGUGACAGCUCGGCAGUUUCUUAAUACCCUGAACUUGAGCGUGGCCUGCGCUAGAGAAAAUACACGGUGCUUCUUAAAAACAAAAGCCAGCAGCCUGCAAGAGGGCUGUGCCUGCGAGUUCCUGGGAGCAGGAGGGGGCUGUUCCUCCGCCCCUGGCUCCAGUUUCACCCAAGUCACUUCACAGCAGUUGGAAGGAGGUCACCAAUUGUUGAGUGUAGGCGGGGGGCGGGGAGGGAGAGGAAGAGGGAUGAAAAGGGAAGGCCCGGGUCAGCUGGGAGAGGAGCUCGCGGGCUUUCCGGCGGGCUGGCCUGAAGUGGAAGGGCCCAGGGCUGCCUGCCACCCUCAGAUGCCACGCAGGUGUUGGGAGGGCACCCGUCUGUGGGCUCAGGGACGUGUUCCCACCGACAGGCACAGAACGGAAAGCACCUUGGGGGAGACGCCCUUCUCCCCAUCUCAGGAGGGAGGCCGGGCCUGCAGACCUCCAGCCCUUCCCCAGCGCUCGCUGUGAGCUCCCCCCCCCCACCCGCCCCCCACGUGCUGGGGAGCAGGUCCGUUUCCCCACCAGUUUGCCUCUGGUCUUUGUGUUUGCUCUGAGGCCAGGCGCGCCCCCUGCUGCAGGCCUGGGCUCCUGUGUGGAGUUCUCCUUUCAGAUGUUGCUAAAAUGUCUUGAAAGGCUGCGGCCACACCAACAGACGUCGUCCGGCCUUCUUCACACGCAACGAAGCGCCCAGGUGGAAAUGCAUGUACCCGCGGCAGCUUCUCGGCAGCGGGCUUCCUGGGACGGAAGACACAGGCUCGCCCGAGGGAGACGGAAGCAGGGGAUCUGCUAGAACUCAGCUCGCCUCCUCCUUUCUCAGCAGGGCAGAGAAUCAUGGGCUUGUGCUGACGAAAGCUCCAGAAAAUGGACUCAUUUAACCUUUCCAAAGAUAUUAUCCAAGCUGCAAAAUCUUGGCAAUCUGAAGACCUUUUAAGUCGAUAUACCAAAGAGCUUUAGUCAGGAUUGAAUGCAAAAUGCCAAAAUUUCACUUUUAAAAUCAUCGUAACAUCUAAAUACAACCUAAGCACACUUGUAAACUGAUGCCGAACAGGCACUUGGAGAGCCCUCCCUGCACCCCUUCCUCGCCCCCUCCUUUGUGCAAAUGCUGUUUGCCCAGAACUUCAGCCACUGAAAAUCCUGGGAACUUUCUCUUCCUGGCUGCCAACCUAGCAGUUUGGACUCACAGACGAGAUUUUUAAAUCACUGAGGGAUUUAAGCCUCUCUGUGUCACAGAAAAGCGAACACCCUCCCAGUUGAAGGUGGCCCCAAAGAUGCGGGCCUGGGACCCAGGACUUCUGCAGGAGAGUGGACGCCUGGGUGCCCCCCGCCUUGCCCUGCACAUGAAUAACAGAGUACACCAGUCAUCAUAAGAAGAAAAAUUCACAUUUAAAGUUUGGAAAGCAACAGGACAAAGGUCUGUCUUCAGUGGUGCGUAGACAUGCUCGUGAUUGAAUUGGAAAUAGUUCUCUUUCCUUCUCUCUGACUUCCUAACUGAAAAGCUGCAGCGUGGGGAGAAAGGCUGCUCAGAAGCCUGGAGCCAGAACACGCACCCCGGCUUUUGCAGGGCCGGCUCACUUGGUUAGAAUCAAAGGAAAAGCCUUGUUAUUUGGGAAGCUGGGCGUCCUCACCAAAUUAGGGGAUUUAAUUUGCAGAUAUCUAAGGAGUGCUUUGAAAUGAAAGAUGAACUAAAAUCUGCUCUGAGGCCCGUGAUUUUUCACCAGUGAAGGACUCUCUUGCUGCUGGACAUACAUGAAAAGCAUCAUCUGAUCUGAAACGCAAGUCCCUGCAAGACAGAGGAGAGACUUUAUAAACAUUUUAUACCAUUCUAUGAAAUCAAUUCGAUUCAGGGCUAGAAUUCAAGAAGUAAUCCAUGGGCAAGUAUAUCUGAUGGUAAACCCAAACGAUUAUAUUGUUAACCUCUUGUACUUUUUUUAAUUUUUUAUUAUUUGAUAUUAUUAUCACAAAAGUCGCUGGAACAGGAUCCAUGAGCUGCUUCUUCACUGCUUAGUGUUUUCAGAAGCUGAUGGAUUAUUAAGCUCCAAUUGAAUACUUGAUUUCCAAUGAUUCCAUUAAUUUUUCUGGUUUGUGGUAGGAUUUGAUUUACUUAUUUUGUACUUUAACACACCAAUAAAAAAUAGAUACUAAG